rnacentral:rRNA from 1 species
UACAGGGGGGGCAAGCGUUGUUCGGAAUUACUGGGCGUAAAGGGCCAGUAGGCGGCCAACUAAGUCCGACGUGAAAUCCCAAGGCUUAACUUUGGAACUGCGUCGGAUACUGGAUGGCUUGAAUUCGGGAGAGGGAUGCAGAAUUCCAGGUGUAGCGGUGAAAUGCGUAGAUAUCAUUUGGAACGCCAAUGGUGAAAACAGGUAGCUGGGAGUGUGCUGACGCUGAGACACGAAAGCCAGGGGAGCAAACGGG